UUACCGUCAGAAGUUUAAAUCUUCAGGGGGAGAAAUGAAGGCAGAAUAUCCAAGACUCUAUGGACCUCUAUUGUCAGCUUCAACGUCUGCCAGCCAUAGUAAUUCAACCCCAAAAUCUCUGCUGUAUGCCAUACCAGCUAUAAAAACUGGAUAAAGUAAUAGAUUCCAUUGUGACUUGGUCCGUAUCUUCCUCAGUACACAUACAGAGCAC
rnacentral:lncRNA from 1 species